rnacentral:rRNA from 1 species
UNUGGGCCGUUACUGACGCUGAGGAGCGAAAGCGUGGGGAGCGAACAGGAUUAGAUACCCUGGUAGUNCACGCUGUAAACGUUGGGCACUAGGUGUGGGGGCCACCCGUGGUUCCCGCGCCGUAGCUAACGCUUUAAGUGCCCCGCCUGGGGAGUACGGCCGCAAGGCUAAAACUCAAAGGAAUUGACGGGGGCCCGCACAAGCGGCGGAGCAUGCGGAUUAAUUCGAUGCAACGCGAAGAACCUUACCAAGGCUUGACAUGCGCCCCGGGCGCGCGGAGACGCGCGCGCAUUUGGUUGGGGGUGUGCAGGUGGUGCAUGGUUGUCGUCAGCUCGUGUCGUGAGAUGUUGGGUUAAGUCCCGCAACGAGCGCAACCCUUGCCCUAUGUUGCCAGCGCGUUGUGGCGGGGACUCGUGGGGGACUGCCGGGGUUAACUCGGAGGAAGGUGGGGAUGACGUCAAAUCAUCAUGCCCCUUAUGUCUUGGGCUUCACGCAUGCUACAAUGGCCGGUACAGAGGGUUGCGAUGCCGUGAGGCGGGGCGAAUCCCUUAAAGCCGGUCUCAGUUCGGAUUGGGGUCUGCAACUCGACCCCAUGAAGGUGGAGUCGCUAGUAAUCGCAGAUCAGCAACGCUGCGGUGAAUACGUACUCGGGCCUUGUACACACCGCCCGUCACGUCACGAAAGUUGGUAACGCCCGAAGCCCAUGNU